GAUGAAAAGUACCACCAAUCUUUCUCACUCAGAUACCUUUUUAAAAAGAUCAAAGACCUAAAUAGAAAGAUUCUAAGAUCUAUGUAAAAAAAAUUACACAUGAUUAUGAAUACUAUGAUCAUUCUAAUUGCAUUCGAAGUUAUCUGGAUGGGGUGGACCCUAUAAAAAUAAAAAAUUUUACUGAAAAAGUGAUGCAAUGAAAAC
rnacentral:lncRNA from 1 species